rnacentral:rRNA from 1 species
GACGAACGCUGGCGGCGUGCUUAACACAUGCAAGUCGAACGGAAAGGCCCUGCUUUUGUGGGGUGCGCGAGUUGCGAACGGGUGAGUAACACGUGAGUAACCUGCCCUUGACUUUGGGAUAACUUCAGGAAACUGGGGCUAAUACCGGAUAGGAGCUCCUGCUGCAGGGUGGGGGUUGGAAGGUUUAGGCGGUUGGGGAUGGACUCGCGGCUUAUCGGCUUGUUGGUGGGGUAGUGGCUUACCAAGGCUUUGACGGGUAGCAGGCCUGCGAGGGUGACCGGCCACAUUGGGCCUGAGCUACGGCCCAGACUCCUACGGGAGGCAGCAGUGGAGAAUAUUGCACAAUGGGCGGAAGCCUGAUGCAGCAACGCCGCGUGCGGGAUGACGGCCUUCGGUUAGUAAACCGCUUUCGCCUGUGACGAAGCGUGAGUGACGGUAAUGGGUAAAGAAGCACCGGCUAACUACGUG